ACAUUUGAUAAUAUAUGUAUUCAAUCAUUCCUUUGAACAUCUUGUGAAUAUUUCCGUGAAUAUUUUUGGGAUCAUUUUUAGAAUAUUUUUUAUUUCACCAACCAUCAUCACACUGAUCUCCUAUGAAGAUCACUCCUUUUGUUUUCCUGGCAAUAUUGUAGAACGCAAGAUAUGUGGCAAACACAGGUUUCCUUCCCCCCUUAUCACAUUUGAUAAUCUUUGUAAUCAAUCAUUCCUUUGAAUAUUUCUUGAAUAUUUUCAUUAAUAUUUCCGUGAAUAUUUCUGUGAAUAGUUCCGUGAAUAUUUUUGGAAUUUUUUUGGAAUAUUUUUAAUUUCACCAACCAUCAUCGGACUGGUUCCCUAUGAAGAUCACUCCUUUUGUUUUCCUGGCAAUAUUGUAGAACGCAAGAUAUGUGGCAAACACAGGUUUCCUUCCCCCCUUAUCACAUUUUUUAAUCUUUGUAUUCAAUCAUUCCUUUGAAUAUUUCUUGAAUAUUUCUUGAAUAUUUUCAUGAAUAUUUCCGUGAAUAUUUCCGUGAAUAUUUCCGUGAAUAUUUUUUGGAUUAUUUUUUGAAUAUUUUUUAUUUCACCAACCAUCAUCACACUGGUUCCCUAUGAAGAUCACUCCUUUUCUUUUCCUGGCAAUAUUGUAGAAAGCAAGAUAUGUGGCAAACAAAGGUUUCUUCCCCCCUUAUCACAUUUGAUAAUCUUUGUAAUCAAUCAUUCCUUUGAAUAUUUCUUGAAUAUUUUCAUGAAUAUUUCCGUGAAUAUUUCCGUGAAUAUUUCCGUGAAUAUUUUUUGGAUUAUUUUUUGAAUAUUUUUUAUUUCACCAACCAUCAUCACACUGGUUCCCUAAGAAGAUCACUCCUUUUGUUUUCCUGGCAAUAUUGUAGAACGCAAGAUAUGUGGAAAACACAGGUUUCCUUCCCCCCUUAUCACAUUUGAUAAUCUUUGUAAUCAAUCUUUCCUUUGAAUAUUUCUUGAAUAUUUUCCUGAAUAUUUCCGUGAAUAUUUCCGUGAAUAUUUUCGUGUAUAUUUUUUGAAUAUUUUUUAUUUCACCAACCAUCAUCACACUGGUUCCCUAAGAAGAUCACUCCUUUUGUUUUCCUGGCAAUAUUGUAGAACGCAAGAUAUGUGGCAAACAAAGGUUUCUUCCCCCCUUAUCACAUUUUUUAAUCUUUGUAUUCAAUCAUUCCUUUGAAUAUUUCUUGAAUAUUUUCAUGAAUAUUUCCGUGAAUAUUUCCGUGAAUAUUUUUUGAAUAUUUUUUAUUUCACCAACCAUCAUCACACUGGUUCCCUAUAAAGAUCACUCCUUUUGUUUUCCUGGCAAUAUUGUAGAAAGCAAGAUAUGUGGCAAACAAAGGUUUCCUUCACCCCUUCUCAAAUUGAUAAUCUUUGUAAUCAAUCAUUCCUUUGAAUAUUUCUUGAAUAUAUUCAUGGAUAGUUCCGUGAAUAUUUCUGUGAAUAUUUCCGUGAAUAUUUCCGCGAAUAUUUUUGGAAUAUGUUUUAGUUCACCAUCCAUCAUCACACUGGUUCCCUAUAAAGAUCACUCCUUUUCUUUUCCUGGCAAUAUUGUAGAAAGCAAGAUAUGUGGCAAACAAGGGUUUCUUCCCCUCUUAUCACAUUUGAUAAUCUUUGUAAUCAAUCAUUCCUUUGAAUAUUUCUUGAAUAUAUUCAUGAAUAUUUCCGUGAAUAUUUCUGUGAAUAUUUCCGUGAAUAUUUUUUGGAUUAUUUUUUGAAUAUUUUUAAUUUCACCAACCAUCAUCGGACUGGUUCCCUAUGAAGAUCACUCCUUUUGUUUUCCUGGCAAUAUUGUAGAAAGCAAGAUAUGUGGCAAACACAGGUUUCCUUCCCCCUUAUCACAUGUGAUAAUCUUUGUAAUCAAUGAUUCCUUUGAAUAUUUCUUGAAUAUUUCCAUGAAUAUUUUCGUGAAUAUUUCCG
ensembl:lncRNA